ensembl:lncRNA LINC01120 long intergenic non-protein coding RNA 1120
ACCUGGGAGACUGCUGGUAAAGAUGGGAGGUGGCCUUUGCCGCUUUCCAUCUUCUCACUGCAGUUUCUUCACGUGGGCCACUUGUACUUAAAAUGUCUUCUUAAUUUAUUCUUUUUACUUCCCCAGCUCCAAUUUGUCUACAGAUUUACAAAUUUGUUUUAUAGUUUUAUGACUCAAUUUGUAUUUUCGGUCCUAUGAAGCUUUUUGCCUUAAAUAUUUUUCUCUGUUUAUAAGAAUGUGCUGUUUCCUAGGCCAGUUUUGUACACACUCUUCCAUAGAAUAGAUCCAGAAGAAACACAACAAUACUGCCUUCAUCAUAUCAGGAGAUCUUGAUACCAAAUACGAGUGUUGCCUCCAAGAUGCAAGAUCCUGAGGGCUCCAAAGAAUCCACUGUCCGUCACAAAUCGACGGUCCGCCAGCUCAGUUUCAGAGACGUGGUGCUCCGCUGCAGGCCUCAUCCUCAGGUGCACCCUGGCAGUCAGCCAUCUGAAGGAGGGUGGCCCAGCAGCAGCUCAGCCUGUGCUCUCACCCACCUCCUCUGCACACACCAGUCCUCGUCCUCAGCACCCAAGGCUGCCAGAGGUCCUUCAGCAGCUCCCGUGGCUGACAGUGACUCUACGUUUCCUAGAUUUCAGGGACCACCUGGAGGGGAGCGGACCAGAGAGACUUCCUCGGAAUAGGCUGUGGCUCUUCACAAGGUGUCUUCUAUGCUUUAUUUGGGAGCCAUUGCCUUGAGCGUUAUUUCCCAGAUGGUUUUCUAAUGUCACCAACUGAAGAAAAGACCCAUGCACACAGGACACAGCAUGAUCUGAUGCUCACAGCGUUUUCCUUCCUCUCUGAAAACGGACUCAGCGAUUCUGGCAAGCGGUACUUACUCUGAGAUCACCCGUUUGCUAAGGAAAAAUCUUAGUACUGAGAAAGGUGACACUUUCCUCCCUGCUUUUGCUGGAGAGACACUUUGGUUAUGAGUUAUUUCUAGCAUAACACAGUUUAUUUCAGAAGUCCAGCUCAAUAGCAGACCAAGGCAUGAACAACACAUGAAAAUUUAUGUUGGGAAAAUAUAUAUUGUAUGUCUGCUUGAA